GUACACGCUGUGACUAGCAUAUCAAUAAGCGGAGGAAAAGUAAAUGCUGUAUACCUACGCUUAGGAUGUUGACGAGACUGUCGAUCUCAUCUAUACAUGACUCUGUGCAUAUCAAUAAGCGGAGGAAAAGAAACUAACAAGGAUUCCCCUAGUAACGGCGAGUGAAGCGGGAAGAGCUCAAAUUUGAAAUCUUAAAGGGUUUCCCUUUACGAAUUGUAGUUUAAAGAAGUGUUUUCUGUUGAGGUUUUGGUAAAAGUUCUUUGGAAUAGGACAUCAUAGAGGGUGAGAAUCCCGUAUUUGACCUUUACUUUCAACUUUGUGAUACACUUUCAAAGAGUCGGAUUGUUUGGGAAUGCAGUCCAAAAUGGGUGGUAAAUUUCAUCUAAAGCUAAAUAUUGGCGAGAGACCGAUAGCGAACAAGUACCGUGAGGGAAAGAUGAAAAGAACUUUGAAAAGAGAGUUAAGCCAGUACGUGAAAUUGUCAAAAGGGAAGCGUUUGACACCAGUGUUGUUUUUCUGAAAAUCAAUUAAAGAACUGUUUAUGCUAAGCUGUUUAGACUUUAUCAGCUAUCUGUUUAGUUUUGAGCUUUUCUUUAAUGCACUUUUCAGUUAACAAGUCAACAUCAAUUUCUUUUGCUGUAAAAAAGCUUGAGGAAGGUGGCUUGAGAUUCGUCUUAAGUGUUUAUAGCCUCUUGCCUAUGCAGUCGGAGAGAUUGAGGUCUGCAGCGUAGAUCCUUCGGGGCUAAAUGCAUUUGUGCUAAGUUAUAGCAUUUUAUAGACAACUUGUUGACUAUGAUUUGUCUUGUAGCUUACUCGCUUAUGUUAUUUUACCUACGCUUAGGAUGUUGAAGAUGUAGCACAUCAU
rnacentral:rRNA from 1 species